UAGGGAAUCUUCCACAAUGGACGCAAGUCUGAUGGAGCAACGCCGCGUGAGUGAAGAAGGUUUUCGGAUCGUAAAGCUCUGUUGUUGGUGAAGAAGGAUAGAGGCAGUAACCGGUCUUUAUUUGACGGUAAUCAACCAGAAAGUCACGGCUAACUACGUGCCAGCAGCCGCGGUAAUACGUAGGUGGCAAGCGUUGUCCGGAUUUAUUGGGCGUAAAGCGAGCGCAGGCGGAAUGAUAAGUCUGAUGUGAAAGCCCACGGCUCAACCGUGGAACUGCAUCGGAAACUGUCAUUCUUGAGUGCAGAAGAGGAGAGUGGAACUCCAUGUGUAGCGGUGGAAUGCGUAGAUAUAUGGAAGAACACCAGUGGCGAAGGCGGCUCUCUGGUCUGCAACUGACGCUGAGGCUCGAAAGAU
rnacentral:rRNA from 1 species